UCCGGUUUGUCACCGGCAGUCUGGCGUGAGUCCCCAACUUAAUGACAAGGGUUGCGCUCGUUGCGGGACUUAACCCAACAUCUCACGACACGAGCUGACGACGGCCAUGCAGCACCUGUGUUCAAGUUCUCUUUCGAGCACUCCCGCAUCUCUGCAGGAUUCCGGACAUGUCAAGGCCAGGUAAGGUUCUUCGCGUUGCAUCGAAUUAAACCACAUACUCCACCGCUUGUGCGGGCCCCCGUCAAUUCCUUUGAGUUUCAGUCUUGCGACCGUACUCCCCAGGCGGCGAACUUAACGCGUUAGCUUCGACACUGAUCUCCGAGUUGAGACCAACAUCCAGUUCGCAUCGUUUAGGGCGUGGACUAC
rnacentral:misc_RNA from 1 species